UACGAAGGGGGCUAGCGUUGUUCGGAAUUACUGGGCGUAAAGAGCGCGCAGGCGGUCGUUCAAGUCGAGUGUGAAAGCCCCCGGCUCAACUGGGGAGGGUCAUUCGAUACUGAUCGACUCGAAGGCAGGAGAGGGAAGCGGAAUUCCCGGUGUAGUGGUGAAAUGCGUAGAUAUCGGGAGGAACACCAGUGGCGAAGGCGGCUUUCUGGCCUGUUCUUGACGCUGAGGCGCGAAAGCUAGGGUAGCAAACGGG
rnacentral:rRNA from 1 species